UGGCAUGUGGUCAAUGUGACAUAUCUAUUGUCAAACACAUCCUAUCCAUGAAAACAUGUGACAUCAACAGACGAGGAGGAUUCUCAGGAAAAACACCAAUCAUGAUAGCAUCAGAAAGGGGACACUAUGAUUUGUAUCAUCUCCUUGUAUCUGAGGGCACAGAUCUGACAAUUACGGAUGAAGACAACAGAGACUGCUUGAUGUUGGCAUAUGGUCAAUGUGACAUAUCUAUUUGUGACAUACAUUCUAUCCAUGAAAACAUGUGCCAUCAACAGACGGGGACGUGUAUCAAAACAAACUACCAAAUACCGAUUAUGAAGGCAUUAGGAAGAAAACGCUAUGACGUUUAUUGUGUGGCCUUAUAUGGGACCUUAAUUAAUGGAUAAAACAUUGUUAUGCAUGUGAACACUAUGACGUCUGAAAGUGCUGCUUCCUUCUGUGCCACUAUUAGGAAAUGGCUGGUUCGAGAAUGGGAAGGAAAAGUACCAGGAUGGCCUAAGGUCAGGAAUACCUUCAACUGUCAGCAGCAGAAAUUUUGAUCUGAUUGUGGACGAUUGUAGCAAAAGCGAAUACAAUAGGUAUUUGUCGAGAGAUUUGAAAAAUACUGAGGACUUGAUUAAAGGCAUCAGCAUGAUGGGCUACAAGACUGUAGUCGCUUUGUAAACGUCAUGCUCUUGUUUUGUAUGGAUGCAUAUAUCAUUGUAUAGUAUUGUAAAGGUGUAUAUAGCUGUGUUCUGCGUUGAAGUGUAUACAACAUUGUUUUGUGUUAUAUUGAUGAACAUAUCGUUGUAUAGUUUUGACAAGGUGCGUAUAUCACAGUAUAGUGUUGACAAGGUGCAUAUAUCAUAGUAUAGUGUUGACAAGGUGUAUAUAUCAUAGUAUAGUAAGUUGACAAGGUGUAUAUAUCAUGGUAUAGUGUUGACAAGGUGUACAUACCAUAGUAUAGUGUUUAAAGGUGUAUAUAUCAUAGUAUAGUGUUGACAAGGUGUAUAUAUCAUAGUAUAGUGUUGACAAGGUGUAUAUAUCAUAGUAUAGUGUUGACAAGGUGUACAUACUAUAGUAUAGUGUUGAAAGGUGUACAUAUCAUAGUAUAGUGUUGGCAAGGUGUAUAUAUCAUAGUAUAGAGUUGUAAAGGUGUAUAUAGCUGUGUAUUGCGUUGUAGAGCAUACAACAUUGUUUUGUGUUUUUAUUGAUGAACAUAUCGUUGUAUAGUGUUGAUAAGGUGUACAUACCAUGAGUAUAGUGUUGACAAGGUGUAUAUGUGAGUUAGGUUAGUUUUACGCCGCACUCAACACUAUUCCAGCUAUAUUGCGGUGGUCUGCAAAUAAUCGGGUAUGGACCAGACAAUCCUGUGAUGACCAGCAUAGGCCUUUCCUAAAUUAGGUAGCUAAAAAAAAUAGCAUAAAUAUCCAAAACGAGGUUGAGUGAGCACGAGAAGGGAAUCCCCGGCGAGAAACAUGGUGUCAUCUGUGGUAAUUCUACAGUCAGAGGGAUUUGUCUUUACUGCCAGAGGGUCUUCUAACUCAAGACUUGUUGAUAACUACCUUCAGUCAAGAUCCAAGGCAUCAGGAAAGAGUCACAUGCAAAAGCAUACAAGUAUUUCAACGAGAAAUACUUUGAGAAACAGACACAGUGACACAGUUUUAUUGGUGUGACUGAUGGUUACGUUGAAGAUGCAAAGUGUGACUGUCCCAAAGGUAAAGGGAAAGGUUGGAGCCUUUACUGUAUGACAUCGGUCACUUAAAGAAACUGGGAAACAAGGUGAUUCCAACAGACCCUGUGAAAACAUCUCAGCCACAGACAUGGCAUAAACCUAGAGAGGAGAAAAAAUAACUGGAGUGGAAGUGCAAGACGUUGUGGCUGUUGGAUACAAACAAAAGCACAAUCCCAUCGAAGCACCUAAAAGGACGGGUGAAAUCAACAUUAUACAACCCUCUCGGGACUGAUAUGCUAGACCAUGCUGCACUCUAUGCAUUACUGGGUAAAGUUUUCACCAUCUGCUAUGAUUACCCCAGCCUUAGAGCUAUAAGUGAGUGGGUAUGUCCCAAUGGUUGAAACUUGUUUUGUAAAUUUCAGAAGGGGUCUGUUAUAGCUGUGCAUCAGAAAUUGAAUCUCCACUCUAACAUUUCUAUUUUUGACAAUUUUAAGUAUCCACAAUUACCAGUAUCCAACAAGAUAGAAAACAAUAUGGUUGUGUUUCCACUGACAAAGGAAAAGCAGUUGAAAUUGGAGUCUUUGAAGUGCACUGUUGAAGAAAUACAUACAUUUGAGGAAGAAACCAGGCUACAGAGUGACUGUAGUCUUUGGUAUAAACUUAUGAAAGAUCGUCUGGUGCUUCAAAGAUGCGCAGUGUAUUUACCAGAAGUGACAACUUUGAAAGACUAGCUGAAGAUCUGCGAAAAAAAACAAGACAGACACAGGCCAUGGCAACAGGACUAGCAAAUGGACCACUUGCUAUUGAUAGAUACAUUCAGGUACUUGAUGGAGCAAACAUUUAUCCUGUUGGCAUUGUUAUAAGCCCCUGGUCUUAUUGGAUCGCCGCUACACCAGAUCGGAACGUUUAUAUACUAAAUCGCCAGCCUGCUAUUGGUAUUCCUGAUGUCCAUGUGUCACAUCUGUUCUUGGAAGUAUCAUACCUGAAGAGAGUGGGGGAUCGUCUUCAACUUAAUCAUAACCAUCCAUAUUACACACAAGUGCAGACUCAACUUGGAGUCACAGGACUAGAGUGGUGUCAUUUCUUUGUUUGGUGUGAAAAUUACUAUCAUCUGGAAACAAUCCUUUUGAUGCUGAAGAAUGGCACGC